rnacentral:rRNA from 1 species
CGUAGGCGCAAGCGUUGUCCGGAAUUAUUGGGCGUAAAGAGCUCGUAGGCGGUUUGUCACGUCGGAUGUGAAAGCCCGGGGCUUAACCCCGGGUCUGCAUUCGAUACGGGCGAGACUAGAGUGUGGUAGGGAGGAUCGGAAUUCCUGGUGUAGCGGUGAAAUGCGCAGAUAUCAGGAGGAACACCGGUGGCGAAGGCGGAUCUCUGGGCCAUUACUGACGCUGAGGAGCGAAAGCGUGGGGAGCGAACAGGAUU